rnacentral:tRNA from 1 species
GAAAUAAUUUUACAUAAAGCUUCUAACUUUAUUUUUAAUGGACUAAACUUCAUUUUAUUUCU